UAUUGCACAAUGGGGGGAACCCUGCUGCAGCGACGCCGCGUGGGUGAAGGAGCGUUUCGGCGCGUAAAGCCCUAUCGGCAGGGAAGAAGGAGGACGGUACCUGACUAAGAAGCCCCGGCUAACUACGUACCCGCAGCCGCGGUAAUACGUAGGGGGCAAGCGUUAUCCGGAUUUACUGGGUGUAAAGGGGGCGCAGACGGCAGCGCAAGCCAGGAGGGAAAGCCCGGGGCCCAACCCCGGGACUGCUCUUGGAACUGCGCGGCUGGAGUGCAGGAGGGGCAGGCGGAAUUCCUGGUGUAGCGGUGAAAUGCGUAGAUAUCAGGAGGAACACCAGUGGCGAAGGCGGCUUACUGGACUGUAACUGACGUUGAGGCUCGAAAGCGUGGGGAGCAAACAGG
rnacentral:rRNA from 1 species